rnacentral:misc_RNA from 1 species
AAGUCGUAACAAGGUUUCCGUAGGUGAACCUGCGGAAGGAUCAUUAACACGUAUCCAAACGUUAAACCCCCCUGUGAACCUUCACCUGUACUCGUACGUCCGUUAGAAAAAGCAGCAAUCCCUGGUAAAUCAUCGCCGAACAGUUUUCGAUUCAGGGAUGUCUGCAAGGAGCGUGCAUGUUGUGCGAGCAAGUGGCCUGGCAUCCCCAAGCAGUUAGUGUCUGAAAGUGUCAUUAACUGUGUAAGGAUGACGCCACACGGCCGACGACCGGGUCACGGGCGCAAGCCCCCCUAUAACAAACGCUGCUAAUCGCGGCCGCGAUAAUACGCAGUCGACCAAAAACCGAACAACUGUUAACAAUGGAUAUCUUGGUUCUC